rnacentral:rRNA from 1 species
UACGGGGGGGGCAAGCGUUGUUCGGAAUUACUGGGCGUAAAGGGCUCGUAGGCGGCCCUCUCAGUCGGAUGUGAAAUCCCCAGGCUUAACCUGGGAACGGCAUCCGAUACUGGAGGGCUUGAAUUCGGGAGAGGGAUGCAGAAUUCCGGGUGUAGCGGUGGAAUGCGUAGAGAUCCGGAAGAACACCGGUGGCGAAGGCGGUCUGCUGGGCCAGUACUGACGCUGAGGCGCGACAGCGUGGGGAGCAAACAGG